rnacentral:rRNA from 1 species
AUUGAACGCUGGCGGCAGGCCUAACACAUGCAAGUCGAGCGGAGCGGCGGACGGGUGAGUAAUGCCUAGGAAUCUGCCUGGUAGUGGGGGAUAACGUCCGGAAACGGGCGCUAAUACCGCAUACUAUCAGAUGAGCCUAGGUCGGAUUAGCUAGUUGGGGGGGGAAAGGCCAACCAAGGCGACGGUCCGUAACUGGUCUGAGAGGAUGAUCAGUCACACUGGAACUGAGACACGGUCCAGACUCCUACGGGAGGCAGCAGUGGGGAAUAUUGGACAAUGGGCGCAAGCCUGAUCCAGCCAUGCCGCGUGUGUGAAGAAGGUCUUCGGAUUGUAAAGUACUUUCAGUUGGGAGGCGUUACCCACAGAAGAAGCACCGGCUAACUCCGUGCCAGCAGCCGCGGUAAUUC